rnacentral:rRNA from 1 species
UACGAAGGGGGCUAGCGUUGCUCGGAAUCACUGGGCGUAAAGCGCACGUAGGCGGCUUUCUAAGUCAGAGGUGAAAUCCUGGAGCUCAACUCCAGAACUGCCUUUGAUACUGGAGAGCUCGAGUCCGGAAGAGGUGAGUGGAACUCCGAGUGUAGAGGUGAAAUUCGUAGAUAUUCGGAAGAACACCAGUGGCGAAGGCGGCUCACUGGUCCGGUACUGACGCUGAGGUGCGAAAGCGUGGGGAGCAAACAGG